rnacentral:rRNA from 1 species
UGAGUGCGAGCUUCUACGGAAGCGAAGUUGGUGACGUCAUGCUUCCAAGAAAAGCCCUAUACCCGUUAAGGCAUGAUUACCUGUACCCGAAACCGACACAGGUGGGGUGGUAGAGAAUACCGAGGGGCGCGAGGUAACUCUCUCUAAGGAACUCGGCAAAAUGACCCCGUAACUUCGGGAGAAGGGGUGCCAGCGCGAGCUGGUCGCAGUGAAUAGGCCCAGGCGACUGUUUACCAAAAACACAGGUCUCCGCUAAGUCGCAAGACGAUGUAUGGGGGCUGACGCCUGCCCAGUGCCGGAAGGUUAAAGAAGUUGGUCAGCGCAAGCGAAGCUAACGACUGAAGCCCCGGUGAACGGCGGCCGUAACAAUAACGGUCCUAAGGUAGCGAAAUUCCUUGUCGGGUAAGUUCCGACCCGCACGAAAGGCGUAACGAUCUGGGCGCUGUCUCGGAGAGAGGCUCGGCGAAAUAGAAUUGUCUGUGAAGAUGCGGACUACGUGCACCCGGACAGAAAGACCCUAUGAAGCUUUACUGUAGCUUGGUAUUGUGCUCGGGCUCGCAAUGCGCAGGAUAGGUGGGAGGCUUUGAUCCAUUGCUUGUGGGUGAUGGUGAGCCAAUGGUGAGAUACCACUCUUUGCGAGCUAGGGUUCUAACGGUCACCCGUCAUCCGGGGACCGGACAGUAUCUGGUGGGCAGUUUGACUGGGGCGGUCGCCUCCUAAAAGGUAACGGAGGCGCGCAAAGGUUUGCUCAGGCUGGUUGGAAAUCAGCCGACGAGUGUAAAAGCAGAAGCAAGCUUGACUGUGAGACCUACAAGUCGAACAGGGAGGAAACUCGGCUUUAGUGAUCCGACGGUUCUGAGUGGAAGGGCCGUCGCUCAACGGAUAAAAGUUACUCUAGGAUAACAGGCUGAUCUCCCCCAAGAGUUCACAUCGACGGGGAGGUUUGGCACCUCGAUGUCGACUCAUCGCAACCUGGGGCUGAAGUCGGUCCCAAGGGUUGGGCUGUUCGCCCAUUAAAGCGGUACGCGAGCUGGGUUCAGAACGUCGUGAGACAGUUCGGUCCAUAUCCGGUGCAUGCGCAGGAAUAUUGAGAGGAUUUCUCCCUAGUACGAGAGGACCGGGAGGAACGCACCUCUGGUGUACCAGUUAUCGUGCCAACGGUAAACGCUGGGUAGCCAUGUGCGGAGUGGAUAACCGCUGAAAGCAUCUAAGUGGGAAGCCCACCUCAAGAUGAGUAUUCCCAUGGCUUAAGCCAGUAAGGUCACGGGAAGAACACCCGUUGAUAGGCUCUAUGUGGAAGCGCAGUAAUGCGUGAAGCAGAGGAGUACUAAUAGACCGAGGGCUUG